GUUUCCAUUCCUUAUAGGCAAGCUACAAAC
rnacentral:other from 1 species